UACGAAGGGGGCUAGCGCUGUUCGGAAUCACUGGGCGUAAAGGGCGCGUAGGCGGCCGAUCAAGUCGGGGGUGAAAGCCUGUGGCUCAACCACAGAAUUGCCUUCGAUACUGGUUGGCUUGAGACCGGAAGAGGUAAGUGGAACUGCGAGUGUAGAGGUGAAAUUCGUAGAUAUUCGCAAGAACACCAGUGGCGAAGGCGGCUUACUGGUCCGGUUCUGACGCUGAGGCGCGAAAGCGUGGGGAGCAAACAGG
rnacentral:rRNA from 1 species